CCCUUAGAUGUUCUGGGCCGCACGCGCGCUUCACUGAUGAACGCAACGAGACCACCUGUACCGAAAGGCAUGGGUAAACUUGUGAAAGUUCAUCGUGAUGGGGAUAGAUUAUUGCAAUUAUUAAUCUUCAACGAGGAAUUCCUAGUAAGCGCGAGUCAUCAGCUCGCGUUGAUUACGUCCCUGCCCUUUGUACACACCGCCCGUCGCUCCUACCGAUUGAAUGGUCCGGUGAAAUCUUCGGAUUGCUGGAUAGGACUUCAUUGACCUAUCUGCGAGAAGUUGCUUGAACCUUAUCAUUUAGAGGAAGGAGAAGUCGUAACA
rnacentral:rRNA from 1 species